GCCCACGUAGCUCAGUAGGUGGAGCACUUGCAUGGUAAGCAAGAGGUCACCGGUUCAAGUCCGGUCGUGGGCUCCA
rnacentral:tRNA from 1 species